rnacentral:rRNA from 1 species
GUGGCGGACGGGUGAGUAACACGUAGGUAACCUGCCCCGGAGCGGGGGAUAACAUUUGGAAACAGAUGCUAAUACCGCAUAACAACGAAAGCCACAUGGCUUUUGUUUGAAAGAUGGCUUUGGCUAUCACUCUGGGAUGGACCUGCGGUGCAUUAGCUAGUUGGUAAGGUAACGGCUUACCAAGGCGAUGAUGCAUAGCCGAGUUGAGAGACUGAUCGGCCACAAUGGAACUGAGACACGGUCCAUACUCCUACGGGAGGCAGCAGUAGGGAAUCUUCCACAAUGGGCGCAAGCCUGAUGGAGCAACACCGCGUGAGUGAAGAAGGGUUUCGGCUCGUAAAGCUCUGUUGUUGGAGAAGAACGUGCGUGAGAGUAACUGUUCACGCAGUGACGGUAUCCAACCAGAAAGUCACGGCUAACUACGUGCCAGCAGCCGCGGUAAUACGUAGGUGGCAAGCGUUAUCCGGAUUUAUUGGGCGUAAAGCGAGCGCAGGCGGUUGCUUAGGUCUGAUGUGAAAGCCUUCGGCUUAACCGAAGAAGUGCAUCGGAAACCGGGCGACUUGAGUGCAGAAGAGGACAGUGGAACUCCAUGUGUAGCGGUGGAAUGCGUAGAUAUAUGGAAGAACACCAGUGGCGAAGGCGGCUGUCUGGUCUGCAACUGACGCUGAGGCUCGAAAGCAUGGGUAGCGAACA